GACAGAGGGGGCAAGCGUUGCUCGGAAUUACUGGGCGUAAAGCGCGCGCAGGUGGUCUGGUAAGUCGGGUGUGAAAUCCCGGGGCUCAACCUCGGAAGUGCACACGAUACUGCCGGACUCGAGUACUGGAGAGGAGAGCGGAAUUCCCGGUGUAGAGGUGAAAUUCGUAGAUAUCGGGAGGAACACCAGUGGCGAAGGCGGGUCUCUGGGCAUUCCCUGACGCUGAGGCGCGAAAGCGUGGGGAGCAAACGGG
rnacentral:rRNA from 1 species